rnacentral:rRNA from 1 species
CGGAGGGCGUAGCGUUGUUCGGAAUUACUGGGCGUAAAGACGCGCGUAGGCGGCUUUGUAAGUUAGAGGUGAAAGCCCGGGCGUCAACUCCGGAAUUGCCUUUAAGACUGCAUCGCUAGAACGUCGGAGAGGUGAGUGGAAUUCCGAGUGUAGAGGUGAAAUUCGUAGAUAUUCUGAAGAACACCAGUGGCGAAGGCGACUCACUGGACGACUGUUGACGCUGAGGUGCGAAAGCGUGGGAGCAAACAGGAUU